rnacentral:rRNA from 1 species
GACGAACGCUGGCGGCGUGCCUAAUACAUGCAAGUCGAACGAGAGCGCCCGGUGCUUGCCCUGGUCAAUCUAGUGGCGAACGUGUGAGUAACACGUGGGUAACCUGCCCAUCAGAGGGGGAUAACAUCCGGAAACGGAUGCUAAAACCGCAUAGGUCUUCGAGCCGCAUGGCUUGAAGAGGAAAAGAGGCGCAAGCUUCUGCUGAUGGAUGUACCCGCGGUGCAUUAGCUAGUUGGUGAGGUAACGGCUCACCAAGGCCGUGAUGCAUAGCCGACCUGAGAGGGUGAUCGGCCACAGUGGGACUGAGACACGGCCCAAACUCCUACGGGAGGCAGCAGUAGGGAAUCUUCCGCAAUGGACGCAAGUCUGACGGAGCAACGCCGCGUGAGUGAAGAAGGUUUUCGGAUCGUAAAACUCUGUUGUUAGAGAAGAACAAGUGCUAGAGUAACUGUUAGCGCCUUGACGGUAGCUAACCAGAAAGCCACGGCUAACUACGUG